rnacentral:tRNA from 1 species
GCCGACCUAGCUCAGUUGGUAGAGCAGCUGUUUCGUAAACAGCAGGUCGCGGGUUCGAGUCCCGCGGUCGGCUCCG